AUCCAUUAGAUAUAUUUAUUAGAUCUUGGCAAGUAGAAACAAACAUCCAGGUUAGAUUUGUGGGGAGGGGUGCAGCAAUACUCUAAUGAACAAUGACAUCACCAUACACAUCGAACUGAAGGAAUACAAAGUACAUAUUUGGCUAGAGAUACUUUUAAUAUUGAAUAUAUUCUUGUAAUAUUAGCAGCACAAACUAAACAUAACCCACUAAUGAUAAAGUUUUAUUGACUAAUACUGUAACAAACUAAAAAUAGAUUACCAUGACCUUGCACCAGUGUAUUCAGUACAAAAAGGCAUAAUGUUCCGUCUAUUUGUUUAAGAGUUCUG